rnacentral:piRNA from 1 species
CCAGUUAUUUGUUGUAUCUUUUGUGGCCC